rnacentral:RNase_P_RNA from 1 species
GGGAGUAGGUGGACGGUUGACGGUGAAACCAAAAAAUGUUUUUUUGGUUUCGCUGAGGAAAGUCCUCUCUCACUCUGAAUCAGGAAACCGUGCAAACGGUUAAGGCGAGAGCCUUAGCAGAGGCACAGAAACGACACAGCCCUUGGAUAAUGCGAUGAUUCACAUCUUGGUGAUGAGGUCUCCGAGGGAUUUGAUGAAACGGCCAAUCUGCUCCUGGAGCAAGCCCAAACAUUCGGGAUCAGCUAUUCAGACUGCCCGAGGGUAGGGCGCAUUAGACGAAUACCGUCAGAACAGAAAGAGGCUUACGGCCUACACCC